GGGCAGCAUGGUCUUAGCUUGCUAAGGCUGAUGGCGACCGGCGCACGGGUGAGUAACACGUAUCCAACCUGCCGUCUACUCUUGGCCAGCCUUCUGAAAGGAAGAUUAAUCCAGGAUGGCAUCAUGAGUUCACAUGUCCGCAUGAUUAAAGGUAUUUUCCGGUAGACGAUGGGGAUGCGUUCCAUUAGAUAGUAGGCGGGGUAACGGCCCACCUAGUCAACGAUGGGUAGGGGUUCUGAGAGGAAGGUCCCCCACAUUGGAACUGAGACACGGUCCAAACUCCUACGGGAGGCAGCAGUGAGGAAUAUUGGUCAAUGGGCGAUGGCCUGAACCAGCCAAGUAGCGUGAAGGAUGACUGCCCUAUGGGUUGUAAACUUCUUUUAUAAAGGAAUAAAGUCGGGUAUGCAUACCCGUUUGCAUGUACUUUAUGAAUAAGGAUCGGCUAACUCCGUGCCAGCAGCCGCGGUAAUACGGAGGAUCCGAGCGUUAUCCGGAUUUAUUGGGUUUAAAGGGAGCGUAGAUGGAUGUUUAAGUCAGUUGUGAAAGUUUGCGGCUCAACCGUAAAAUUGCAGUUGAUACUGGAUGUCUUGAGUGCAGUUGAGGCAGGCGGAAUUCGUGGUGUAGCGGUGAAAUGCUUAGAUAUCACGAAGAACUCCGAUUGCGAAGGCAGCCUGCUAAGCUG
rnacentral:rRNA from 1 species